AGAGUUUGAUCCUGGCUCAGAACGAACGCUGGCGGCAGGCCUAACACAUGCAAGUCGAGCGCCCGCAAGGGAGCGGCAGACGGGUGAGUAACGCGUGGGAACGUGCCCUUUGGUUCGGAAUAUUCCCGGGAAACUGGGAGCAAAACCGGAUAAGCCCUUCGGGGGAAAGUUUACGCCAAAGGAUCGGCCCGCGUUAGAUUAGGUAGUUGGUGGGGUAACGGCCUACCAAGCCUACGAUCUAUAGCUGAUCUGAGAGGAUGAUCAGCCACACUGGGACUGAGACACGGCCCAGACUCCCACGGGAGGCAGCAGUGGGGAAUCUUGGACAAUGGGCGCAAGCCUGAUCCAGCCAUGCCGCGUGGAUGACUGAAGGCCCUAGGGUUGUAAAGUCCUUUCGACGGGGACGAUAAUGACGGUACCCGUAGAAGAAGCCCCGGCUAACUUCGUGCCAGCAGCCGCGGUAAUACGAAGGGGGCUAGCGUUGUUCGGAUUUACUGGGCGUAAAGGGCGCGUAGGCGGAUUUUUAAGUCGGGGGUGAAAUCCCGGAGCUCAACUCCGGAACUGCCUUCGAUACUGGAAGUCUGGAGCACGGUAGAGGUGAGUGGAAUUCCGAGUGUAGAGGUGAAAUUCGUAGAUAUUCGGAGGAACAUCAGUGGCGAAGGCGGCUCACUGGACCGUUGCUGACGCUGAGGCGCGAAAGCGUGGGGAGCAAACAGGAUUAGAUACCCUGGUAGUCC
rnacentral:rRNA from 1 species